UACGGGGGGGGCAAGCGUUGUUCGGAAUUACUGGGCGUAAAGGGCUCGUAGGCGGCCAACUAAGUCAGACGUGAAAUCCCCAGGCUCAACCUGGGAACUGCGUCUGAUACUGGAUGGCUUGAAUCCGGGAGAGGGAUGCAGAAUUCCAGGUGUAGCGGUGAAAUGCGUAGAUAUCUGGAGGAACACCGGUGGCGAAGGCGGUUCUCUGGGAAUGUCCUGACGCUGAGGAGCGAAAGUGUGGGGAGCGAACAGGG
rnacentral:rRNA from 1 species